rnacentral:lncRNA from 1 species
GCUGAGCACAACGCAGCUCCGCCCUCGCAAAGGCACAGCGCGGGCGCAGGCGCCCAGAGGCGCACAGGAGACCUCAGGCCCAGACUCCACUCCCCAGCUGUGAAAGGACUGCUGGCCAGACCCCCAAGCUAGCCCGCCAGGCCUCCAUAGAGCUGCCCAGCAUGGCUGCAUCCAGUACCAAGAGUUGGUGGGAGACGGGUGAGGUAUAGGCUCAGUCUGCGGCCAAGACUCCGUCCUGCAAGGAUAUUGUGGCUGGAGACAUGAGCAAGAAAAGCCUCUGGGAGCAGAAGGGAGGCUCCAAGACCUCAUCAACAAUUAAGCUGCAAACCACCCAAGGUGAAGUCAUCUUAGCCUCUUGGAGUCAGCCUGACUGGGGUGAACCCAUUGAUAUGUAUUGCAUAAAUGAACAUAUCAUGACA